UACGUAGGUGGCAAGCGUUGUCCGGAAUUAUUGGGCGUAAAGCGUGCGCAGGCGGUUCGUGAUGUCUGGUGUGAAAGCCCCGGGCUUAACCUGGGAAUUGCAUUGGAAACUAGCGGGCUGGAGUGUGGCAGAGGGGGGUGGAAUUCCACGUGUAGCAGUGAAAUGCGUAGAGAUGUGGAGGAACACCGAUGGCGAAGGCAGCCCCCUGGGCUAACACUGACGCUCAUGCACGAAAGCGUGGGGAGCAAACAGG
rnacentral:rRNA from 1 species